rnacentral:rRNA from 1 species
GAUGAACGCUAGCGGCAGGCCUAACACAUGCAAGUCGAGGGGCAGCGGGGCGCAGCAAUGCGCUGCCGGCGACCGGCGCACGGGUGCGUAACGCGUAUGCAACCUGCCCGCGACAGGGGGAUAACCGGCGGAAACGCCGACUAAUACCCCGUAACGCGCGGAGCCGCAUGACUCUGCGCUGAAAGCCUUGGUGGUCGCGGAUGGGCAUGCGUGGCAUUAGGUAGUUGGCGGGGCAACGGCCCACCAAGCCAUCGAUGCCUAGGGGAGCUGAGAGGCUAAUCCCCCACACUGGUACUGAGACACGGACCAGACUCC